GCUGUUGUUGGACCCUGUGGAGAAGAAGAUGUACUCUUGUGUGUCGUACUCCAGACUGGCUGUGCUGGUCAGCAGGAAUUUGGCAGAAGGAAGUCCGAUCUGUUGAAGAUGCAUGAGCCUGAUGUAACAUCUCACUGGAGCAGCCUUCAAUCUGGAGCAGAGCCAACGCAUGUCAGUUCAACAACGUGCACCCCGUGUACCGCAGCUGGAGACAAAGGUACAAAGACGGCAGAUGCUGCCCUGACCGUCGUCCUCCAAAGGCGAGCCCACUGCCAGAUCGUUGAGCCCGUCUGUGUUCAGAUCAGGCAGCACAGCGAGAGAAGACCCAAAUCUUCCUUUGGCAGAUGCGGCGCCUCUCAGUAUUACCGGUG